CGGUGCAUGGGGCUAGAACUCAGGGCCCAGCAGGUCUGACAAUGCAGGUUUCCCCGCUCGCCUGUUGGGUUUUUGAAACGCCCUCAGCGGGGUUUUCCUCCUAAUUCUGGUUUGGAGGAGCCAUCUCUCUCCAUCCCGUCUGCCAGCGGGGUUUGCUUCACACACAGACGUGGGCAGAUGGCAUCGGGGACACAGGGAAACCUGACCUUAGAGGAAAUGGAAAAGUUGGAGAGACACUGAGCACUGAUACGAAAUAAUUCUCUUGCUGAAAUACACGAAAGGAGUCCCAGCAGCCAUAUUAGUAUUUCCACGUCCUGUGUCAGCCCCAAGUAGAGAGAACUUGGAAUGGGAGGGGAAAUGGCAGCCAUCAGGAAAUGAAAUGCUGGCCCAGAGAAUUCUAAGCAAGUCAAUCACCAGUCCAACUCUUCCGAAAACUUCCUUGUUUUGCCUUUUCAAACAUCAGGGGCGUGACUUAUAACAGCCAAAUUUUGCCAGCAUGCUGUGUCAUGGGUUCCAGUCCGUGGAGCUCCGUCAUACUCUGUUGGGCAUCCUGUGUCUUAUUCCUCUCUUUAGGUCCAGUUUCUACAUACCUUAUCUGUGUUAUCUCAGGCUUCAGAAGCUUCUCCGUAACGUGGGCUACUUUCCCCUCAUCACUGGGUAUUUAUUUAUUUAUUUUUACUGAAGCCUGAGCCCUGUAACGUUACCACACUGGCCACAGCUUCAGGAGAGAGAUCACUGCUCUCAAGAACUUACAGUCUAGUGAUGGAUACAAAGGUACAUGAAAAAAUAACUAGCAAUGGAAAACAAAGCAUGAAAUGCGAUGAAACGUGGUCAGGAUGCUAAGUGCUAUGACAUAUCACACUCGGAACCUCACUUUGCUCAUAUGAAAAGCUGGAGAGAAUCUUCCCAAGCUUAGCACAUCCUCAUAGGAUUUUGGUGAAAAUCAGAUGAGAUGAAGAGGGACACCAGAUCUUUCUUUCUUUCCUCAUGGGCACAGAGGAAAGGCCAUGUGAGGACAUAAGGAGGAGACAGCCAUCUAUAAGCCAAGAAGAAAGCCCUCACUAGAAACCAACUCUAAUGGCACCCUGAUCUUGGAUUUCUAGCCCCUGGACAAUGAGAAAAUAAAUGUCUGUUGUUUA
rnacentral:lncRNA from 1 species